CGCGCCCGCUGGCGGCAGGCCUAACACAUGCAAGUCGAACGGAACCUUCGGGGUUAGUGGCGGACGGGUGAGUACCACGUGGGAACGUGCAUUUAGGUUCGGAAUAGCUCCUGGAAACGGGAGGUAAUGAAGAAUGUGCCCAUCGGGGGAAAGAUGUUUCGCCUUUAGAUCGGCCCGCGUCUGUUUAGCCGGUUGGGGAGGGACUGGCUCACCAAGGGGACGUUCAGUAGCUGGUCUGUGAGCAGGACAAGCACCGCUUGAACUGAGACACGGCCCACACUCCUACGGGGGGCUGGAGUAGGGUAUCUUGCGCGAUGGGCGAAAACCUAGCACAGCCAUGCCGCGUGAAUGGUGAAGGUCUUAGGAUUGUAAAAUUCUUUCACCGGAGACGUUAAUGACGGUACCCGGAGAAGAAGCCCCGGCUAACUUCGUG
rnacentral:rRNA from 1 species